AGAGUUUGAUCCUGGCUCAGGACGAACGCUGGCGGCGUGCCUAAUACAUGCAAGUAGAACGCUGAAGAGAGGAGCUUGCUCUUCUUGGAUGAGUUGCGAACGGGUGAGUAACGCGUAGGUAACCUGCCUUGUAGCGGGGGAUAACUAUUGGAAACGAUAGCUAAUACCGCAUAACAAUGGAUGACACAUGUCAUUUAUUUGAAAGGGGCAAUUGCUCCACUACAAGAUGGACCUGCGUUGUAUUAGCUAGUAGGUGAGGUAACGGCUCACCUAGGCGACGAUACAUAGCCGACCUGAGAGGGUGAUCGGCCACACUGGGACUGAGACACGGCCCAGACUCCUACGGGAGGCAGCAGUAGGGAAUCUUCGGCAAUGGGGGGAACCCUGACCGAGCAACGCCGCGUGAGUGAAGAAGGUUUUCGGAUCGUAAAGCUCUGUUGUUAAGGAAGAACGAGUGUGAGAAUGGAAAGUUCAUGCUGUGACGGUACUUAACCAGAAAGGGACGGCUAACUACGUGCCAGCAGCCGCGGUAAUACGUAGGUCCCGAGCGUUGUCCGGAUUUAUUGGGCGUAAAGCGAGCGCAGGCGGUUAGAAAAGUCUGAAGUGAAAGGCAGUGGCUCAACCAUUGUAGGCUUUGGAAACUGUUUAACUUGAGUGCAGAAGGGGAGAGUGGAAUUCCAUGUGUAGCGGUGAAAUGCGUAGAUAUAUGGAGGAACACCGGUGGCGAAAGCGGCUCUCUGGUCUGUAACUGACGCUGAGGCUCGAAAGCGUGGGGAGCGAACAGGAUUAGAUACCCUGGUAGUCCACGCCGUAAACGAUGAGUGCUAGGUGUUAGGUCCUUUCCGGGACUUAGUGCCGCAGCUAACGCAUUAAGCACUCCGCCUGGGGAGUACGACCGCAAGGUUGAAACUCAAAGGAAUUGACGGGGGCCCG
rnacentral:rRNA from 1 species